rnacentral:rRNA from 1 species
GACGAACGCUGGCGGCGUGCUUAACACAUGCAAGUCGAACGAAGUGGCGAACGGGUGAGUAACGCGUCAUCAACCUGCCCUUCAGAGGGGGACAACAGUUGGAAACGACUGCUAAUACCGCAUACUGAAGGUGGGGAUUGCGUCUGAUUAGCUAGUUGGAGGGGUAACGGCCCACCAAGGCGAUGAUCAGUAGGCGGUCUGAGGGGAUGGACGGGCACAUAGGGAAUUGGACACGGGCCAGACUCCUACGGGAGGCAGCAGUUGGGAAACUUCCGCAAUUGACGGAAGUCUGACGGAGCAACGCCGCGUGAGUGAUGACGGCCUUCGGGUUGGAAAGCUCUGUUAAUCGGGACGCGGUACCGGAAUAGAAAGCCACGGCUAACUACGUGCCAGCAGCCGCGGUAAUUC